UCCCUGUUGGCUCAAAUGGUAAAGAAUCUGCCUGCAGUGCGGGAGACCCAGGUUCGAUCCCUGGGUUGGGAA
rnacentral:tRNA from 1 species